rnacentral:rRNA from 1 species
GGAGCCCUACGGGACGCAGCAGUGGGGAAUAUUGCACAAUGGGGGAAACCCUGAUGCAGCGACGCCGCGUGAGUGAAGAAGUAUUUCGGUAUGUAAAGCUCUAUCAGCAGGGAAGAAAAUGACGGUACCUGACUAAGAAGCCCCGGCUAACUACGUGCCAGCAGCCGCGGUAAUACGUAGGGGGCAAGCGUUAUCCGGAUUUACUGGGUGUAAAGGGAGCGUAGACGGUA